rnacentral:rRNA from 4 species
UACGGAGGAUGCGAGCGUUAUCCGGAUUUAUUGGGUUUAAAGGGUGCGUAGGCGGCCUGUUAAGUCAGCGGUGAAAUCUAGGAGCUUAACUCCUAAAUUGCCAUUGAUACUGGCGGGCUUGAGUGUAGAUGAGGUAGGCGGAAUGCGUGGUGUAGCGGUGGAAUGCAUAGAUAUCACGCAGAACUCCGAUUGCGAAGGCAGCUUACUAAGGUACAACUGACGCUGAAGCACGAAAGCGUGGGUAUCAAACAGG